GAUUGAACGCUGGCGGCAGGCCUAACACAUGCAAGUCGAACGGUAACAGGAAGAAGCUUGCUUCUUUGCUGACGAGUGGCGGACGGGUGAGUAAUGUCUGGGAAACUGCCUGAUGGAGGGGGAUAACUACUGGAAACGGUAGCUAAUACCGCAUAACGUCGCAAGACCAAAGAGGGGGACCUUCGGGCCUCUUGCCAUCGGAUGUGCCCAGAUGGGAUUAGCUAGUAGGUGGGGUAACGGCUCACCUAGGCGACGAUCCCUAGCUGGUCUGAGAGGAUGACCAGCCACACUGGAACUGAGACACGGUCCAGACUCCUACGGGAGGCAGCAGUGGGGAAUAUUGCACAAUGGGCGCAAGCCUGAUGCAGCCAUGCCGCGUGUAUGAAGAAGGCCUUCGGGUUGUAAAGUACUUUCAGCGGGGAGGAAGGGAGUAAAGUUAAUACCUUUGCUCAUUGACGUUACCCGCAGAAGAAGCACCGGCUA
rnacentral:rRNA from 1 species